rnacentral:rRNA from 1 species
CAGCGCCACAAGUGGCAAUCACGUUUAUUGGGCCUAAAGCGUCCGUAGCCGGUUUAGCAAAUCUUUUGUGAAAUCGUCAGGCUUAACUUGACGAAUCGCAGAAGACACUACUAAACUAGGGACUGGGAGGAGUCAGAAGUAUUCUGGGGGGACCGGUAAAAUGGUAUAAUCCCCAGAGGACUACCGAUGGCGAAGGCAUCUGACCAGAACAGAUCCGACGGUGAGGGACGAAAGCCAGGGGAGCAAACCGGAUUAGAUACCCGAGUAGUCC